rnacentral:rRNA from 1 species
AACUUACCCAUUACUAGGGGAUAGCCCGGAGAAAUUCGGAUUAAUACCUUAUAGUAUGUUAGACUGGCAUCAGUUUGAUAUUAAAGAUUUAUCGGUAAUGGAUAGCCAUGCGUAUGAUUAGCUAGUUGGCGGGGUAAUGGCCCACCAAGGCGAUGAUCAUUAGGGGGUCUGAGAGGAUGAUCCCCCACACUGGUACUGAGAUACGGACCAGACUCCUACGGGAGGCAGCAGUAGGGAAUAUUGGACAAUGGGCGAGAGCCUGAUCCAGCCAUGCCGCGUGCAG